rnacentral:rRNA from 1 species
UGGGGAAUAUUGCACAAUGGGCGCAAGCCUGAUGCAGCCAUGCCGCGUGUGUGAAGAAGGCCUUCGGGUUGUAAAGCACUUUCAGCGAGGAGGAAGGUGGUGAGCUUAAUACGCUCAUCAAUUGACGUUACUCGCAGAAGAAGCACCGGCUAACUCCGUGCCAGCAGCCGCGGUAAUACGGAGGGUGCAAGCGUUAAUCGGAAUUACUGGGCGUAAAGCGCACGCAGGCGGUUUGUUAAGUCAGAUGUGAAAUCCCCGGGCUCAACCUGGGAACUGCAUUUGAAACUGGCAAGCUAGAGUCUCGUAGAGGGGGGUAGAAUUUCCAGGUGUAGCGGUGAAAUGCGUAGAGAUCUGGAGGAAUACCGGUGGCGAGGGCGGCCCCCCUGGACGAAGACUGACGCUCAGGUGCGAAAGCGUGGGGCAGCAAACAGGAUUAGAUACCCUGGUAGUCCACGCUGUAAACGAUGUCGAUUUGGAGGUUGUGCCCUUGAGGCGUGGCUUCCGGAGCUAACGCGUUAAAUCGACCGCCUGGGGAGUACGGCCGCAAGGUUAAAACUCAAAUGAAUUGAC